AGUGAACGCUGGCGGCGUACUUAACACAUGCAAGUCGAACGAGAACGGAUUAUAGCUUGCUAUAAUUGUCAGCUAAGUGGCGCACGGGUGAGUAAUGUAUAGAUAACCUGCCCUCAAGAAAGGAAUAACAGUUGGAAACGACUGCUAAUGCCCUAUAUGCCUUUAAUACAUAAGUAUGCAAGGGAAACGCUUUAGUGCUUGAGGAUGGGUCUGUAUGGUAUCAGUUAGUUGGUGGGGUAAUGGCCUACCAAGACAAUGACGCCUAACUGGUUUGAGAGGAUGAUCAGUCACACUGGAACUGAGACACGGUCCAGACUCCUACGGGAGGCAGCAGUGGGGAAUAUUGCACAAUGGACGAAAGUCUGAUGCAGCAACGCCGCGUGGAGGAUGACACAUUUCGGUGCGUAAACUCCUUUUAUAUAGGAAGAUAAUGACGGUACUAUAUGAAUAAGCA
rnacentral:rRNA from 1 species